GAUGAACGCUGGCGGCGUGCCUAAUACAUGCAAGUCGAGCGAACAGACGAGGCGCUUGCUCCUCUGACGUUAGCGGCGGACGGGUGAGUAACACGUGGAUAACCUACCUAUAAGACUGGGAUAACUUCGGGAAACCGGAGCUAAUACCGGAUAAUAUAUUGAACCGCAUGGUUCAAUAGUGAAAGACGGUUUUGCUGUCACUUAUAGAUGGAUCCGCGCCGCAUUAGCUAGUUGGUAAGGUAACGGCUUACCAAGGCAACGAUGCGUAGCCGACCUGAGAGGGUGAUCGGCCACACUGGAACGGAGACACGGUCCAGACGCCUACGGGAGGCAGCAGUAGGGAAUCUUCCGCAGUGGGCGAAAGCCUGACGGAGCAACGCCGCGUGAGUGAUGAAGGUCUUCGGAUCGUAAAACUCUGUUAUUAGGGAAGAACAAAUGUGUAAGUAACUAUGCACGGCUUGACGGUACCUAAUCAGAAAGCCACGGCUAACUACGUG
rnacentral:rRNA from 1 species